CUGAACUGUCGACACGAGUUGUUGCUGGUCCUCGAAAGGGGCAUGUGCACGCUCUGUUUACACAUCCACUCACACCUGUGCACCCUCUGUAGUUCUGUGGUAUUGGGGACUCUGUCCUCUUGCCGUGGUCCUACGUCUUUACACACACACCGUAAUACAGUCUCAUGGAAUGUAUGUCGCGUUUAACGCAAUACAAUA
rnacentral:misc_RNA from 1 species